rnacentral:misc_RNA from 1 species
GAUGAAGAAGGCAGCGAAAUGCGAUAAGUAGUGUGAAUUGCAGAAUUCAGUGAAUCAUCGAAUCUUUGAACGCACAUUGCGCCUCCUGGUAUUCCGGGAGGCAUGCCUGUUCGAGCGUCAUUAAAAUCACUCAAGCUUAGGUUUACCUAUUGCUUGGUCUUGGAGAUGGAAGCCAAUUUAUUGGAAUCCUCUUCGAAAUUCAAUGGCGAAGACCCUUGCUCUCCCAAGUGUAGUAAUAACUUAUGUCACUGAAGGAAGCGAGAAAUCUUCUGCCGUAACCCCCAUAUUUUCUAUGAUUGACCUCGGAUCAGGUAGGGAUACCCGCUGAACUUAAGCAUAUCAAUAAGCGGAGGA